rnacentral:lncRNA from 1 species
GUCGGUGAGCCUGCAUCUCUCCCAUCCUCACCUGACAAGGCUCCCGUUCCAGGCAGGACACCACUGAGCCCCCUUCCUCCCACCGGAACUCUUCCCCAGCCCCUCGGCCUGCCCUUGAAUCUCUGCCAUCA